rnacentral:rRNA from 1 species
UACGUAGGGUGCAAGCGUUGUCCGGAAUUAUUGGGCGUAAAGAGCUCGUAGGCGGUCUGUCGCGUCGGCUGUGAAAUCCCGAGGCUCAACCUCGGGUCUGCAGUCGAUACGGGCAAACUAGAGUAUUGCAGGGGAGACUGGAAUUCCUGGUGUAGCGGUGGAAUGCGCAGAUAUCAGGAGGAACACCAAUGGCGAAGGCAGAUCUCUGGGCCGAUACUGACGCUGAGGAGCGAAAGCGUGGGGAGCGAACAGG